CACAAAUACGCUAAAACCCUAGCCUCCAUAUCCAUUUCCCUUUCAGCUCUACACUCUGCCUCUGUUUUUACAGUUACACUUGCAUCAACAAAUUGUCGGCUGCUCCGGUCGCCGCCGUCAGCAAUGGGGAAAUCAGAAAAAAAGCCAGCCUCUCAGCCCCAGAAAGUGGAGAAGAAGCCAGCUGCUCAGUCACAGAAGAAUUCUGCAGCCGAUGAUGACAUGGAUCCAACGCAAUACUUCGAAAAUAGGCUGAAAGCACUUGCAGCUGAAAAGGAAAAUGGGCAGAACCCUUACCCACACAAAUUCCAAGGGGAAAACCAUAUGUCUAUCCCUAAAUUUGUCAAUAAAUACGGAGUUUUAGAGAGUGGAGUUCACUCCGAAGAUGAAGUGUCCUUGACUGGAAGGAUAAUGAACAAACGUGCCUCUUCUGCAAAGCUGCUUUUCUAUGAUUUACAUGGUGAAGGUGCCAAAGUUCAAGUCAUGACAAGUGCAAGAGAUUCUGUGUUGAAUGAAGAAGACUUCAUUAAAUUUCAUUCUGGUGUGAAGCGUGGUGAUAUUGUAGGAAUUACUGGAUGUCCAGGUAAGAGUAAAAGGGG
rnacentral:misc_RNA from 1 species